AGCUGCUCAACGCGAUUUCCCUUCGCGCUUCUCCGCACCGGGAUCCCCAGUCCCUCAGGUUCCGACAGACCCUCCUGUCAGGCCCAUUCUCCGGGCCCCCUCAGUUGCAGUGUUAAGAUCAACAGUGUUAAGAUUAAAGCCUUGUGAUGUGCUAGCCACUACGCUGAGGAUAUGCCGUGUACUAAAAUUCCUCAGGACUCCUCACAGCUGCCCUGUAAGGAAGCGGCCAUGGCCGGGUUCUAGCGAUGCGAGGCCGAGGCUCGGGGCGCUGAGUAGCCUAGCGCGUCGCCGAGGAGAGCUGGCACGUGAACCCCUUGUCGUUUGCCGUCAGAGGUGUUAUGUGGUGGCCCUCAUUCUCCAUGCAUGGAGCAGACUCUAGGAUCUGCAGUUACUGUAUGAUGAGCCCUUCUGAGUAUUUUGCUUGGUAAGUGCACACAUGUCAUGUCCCUGAUUACAGCAAUGUGAUGUUGGACAUUUUAUCACCAAGAAAAGUGGGCGCGAUUGUCUGGCUCCAAUCCAAAUGCUGGCGUUUGCCAACUAACAAUAGUUUCAACUGAAAUUCAUUUAACAGGGAAGAGAAGGAAUGGCUUUGAUGAGAUUCCAAGUACAGCACAAACAUCAGGCUGACCUGCAGGUUGGGCAAGGCAGGGUCAGAAACAGCAGCGGAGCCUUGCUGGGACUCCCACUAUCAUCUAAACAACAACAUAGCAGCAGGACCUUUCACAGAGAGUUCCCAACCAUGUGAGAACCGUAAGAGCCUGUAGGGUCACACAGUCCUACCUCCUCAUGGGGCAGCUGAGGAAGGGGAAGCCAGGGAAGCUAGGGGUUGCCCAGGGAUGUGGGGGGUAUUUUGUAGUCAAAACUCUAAGACAGCAGUGGGGGUCAGGCCCCGAGUGUUGACACAUUCAUGGAGCAACAGCCACGUGUCCAGCACAGGGCUAGGCACUAAAGAUAUGUCAAACUUAAAUAAUGAGAUUUAGAAAACAUUAGUAAGUAUAUAGUUUAUUUGAGCACACAGCUUGAGAACAGCCACCCAGGGAAACAGACUCCAAAUGAAUGGGAUCAGCAUUCCAAAGUGGAGAAGUUAAAGUUUCACUCAUGUAGGCAGAGACAAAGAAGUUUCAGCUGGAUUAUGACAUUUUCCAUACGAGGCUAGUGCAUACAUCAUAGCUAUUUGAUUGAUUACAGAUUGCUACACUCCAAGGAAGAUUACUUUAUUAUUUCAUGAGGAGGGAUUAUGGUCUGAGGGGGGUUCUUAUCUCUGGCGCCAUUUGGUCUUCAUAAUUAUUUACAGGAAAAAAGGGCGGAAGUUGCAGCUGCAUGCCACAUGACUCAGGCCACAUGGCCACAUUCCUCUCAAGGCUCAGAAUAAUCUAAAGUUCCAACGGCUUUAAGUUUGAAUUAUUAAUUGCACAGAUACAAAGAGGAGCAAGACCAAGAAGAGAGAGAGAGCUGUAAAGAAAUAGCCAUAAACAAAUAACAAAUGAAAGAAUGUGACCAAGUUUUCCAACAAAGGUGUGAACACAGUGCUAUGGGAACCAAGAGGCCAGCUGGCUCUAACUUUGUUUUUAAAUCUAAAUCAGAGGCAGACUGAUAAUUGCCAUUUUUUACUACAAAUUGAGGAUACCGUGUUAUAAUCAGUGCUUCGGGCUGAGACGGAAUGAUAGUUAAUGCUCCCAAACCUGUAGUGGCCUUGUUUUCUUUAUAUCUCUAAGCCUGAGUCACUGUAUAGACCAGAAUAAAAACGUGGUGAUGUUAUACCCCAUACUGGGAACCUGACAAUUCGUGGAUAAUAGAGCCUGGUGCCUGGCACAAAAUAGGUGCUCAAGUAUUUUAAUUAAUAUCUCUACAAAUAGAUACAUUAACACUGCUCAGGCUUGGAAAAUAAUUUAAGCUCAUAAAAAGAAAACAUUGGUAAUAGGACUGGUGAUACAGAAAUUCGUAGCAUUUCAACUUAAGUUAGAUAUAAAUACUGUCUGCCCAGGUGGCAUGCAGUCCUCUUUCUUUACCUUUCAAAAUCAUCUCAGAAAAUUUCCUUGUGCAUAUGUCUCAUAUUCCAGUUACUGUUGCUACAUAACAAAUUACCCCAAAACUCAGUGGGCUACAACAACAACAACAAUCAUUUUCAUUCUCUCAUGGGUUUUGUGGGUCAGGAAUUCAGGAAGGGCUUGGCUGGGUGGGUUUCUUCUCAGCAUCUCUCAUGCAGGUGCUGGUGGACAGAGGCUGGAGCUGGAAGGGGGAGGGCAAGUGUGCAGUUGCAGCAGCUGGGGAUAGGCUGGGCAUUCUUCUUGCUUCAUGUAGUCUUGGGUCCUCUCAGGUGGUGGCUUGAAUCAUCUCCUUGGGCUUCCUCCCAAUAUGGUGGCUUCAGGGCGGUUUUUCUGCUUAUAUGGCAGCUCAGGACUCAUGGAUGUCCCAGAAGAACCAGUUAGGAGCUUUUUUUUUUUUUUUUUUUUUUUUUAAGAUGGAGUCUCACUCUAUCGCCCAGGCUGGAGUGCAGUGGCACGAUCUUGGCUCACUGCAACCUCUGCUUCCUGGGUUCAAGCCAUUCUCCUGUCUCAGCCCCCUGAGUACCUGGGAUUACAGGAAUGCACCACCACGCCCGGCUAAUUUUUGUAUUUUUAGCAGAGAUGAGGUUUCAUCAUGUUGCCCAGCUGGUCUUGAACCCCUGACCUCAGGCGAUCUGCCCCCUUUGGCCUCCCAAAGUGCUGGGAUUACAGGUGUGAACCACUGUGCCCAGCCUGAGCUGUGUUACCUUUUAUGACCUAACAUUGGAAGUCAUAUAGUACCAUUUCUGUUUUACCAACCUCACCCAGAUGAAAGGAGUGUCAUUGUUAGAAGAGUAUGUGGAAUGGAAUUUAUUGUCAUGGCCAACUUUAGAAAAUACAAUCUAUCACAUCCCACAAAACCCGAAAUUCUUGUAAUGGUUCCUUUUUAUUUGUUUUUGUUUUCAUUAACUCAGCUCAGAGAUAACUUAAAACUUGCCUUUGCAGUUGCCUGCUCUGGGUCUGGUCUGCCAGAUAAGAUGGCAAUAAUGAAUCAGUGUGUCUCAAAAACUAUUUUGUAGAACAUAGUUUCAAGAGACCUGAUUAGAUGUUGCUUGAAAAAAGUUAGAAAAAAGAGGGAUUGAAUAGGUUUCUUUUUAAUAGAACUUUUCAGAGCUCUUAAUUUACUAAUGAACCUUUUAUUAUAGAUCAUCUGUGGAGCACUUGCAGGACUAGAGUUCCAGCAACACUGGCCACUAAUUAUUUUUGGAUGCUUUGCUGGAUUCAACUAUAAUCUAACAAUAAGUUUCUUUAUGUUUCAGGGUGGACAGUUUAUGUGUCAGGUAUGUGUAUUUAUAAUUAAAAUCAAAUAUUAUUACAUAGGCUUUGCACCUGGCGAGGUAACAUUGAGAGUAGUUAAUCUCUAGACUGGAAUCCAUCUGGAAGACCACUCAAUAACUUGUGAUUAGCUGGACCUGGUGAUGCAAGCCUGGAGUCCCAGUUACCCGGAGGCUGAGGUGGGAAUAUCGCUUGAGACCAGGAGUUUGAGGCUACAGUGAGCUGUGAUUGUACCACUGCACUCCAGCCUGGGUGACAGUGCAAGACCUCAUCUCUUAAAAAAAACAAACAACUCAAAAAACCUCAUCAUUGAGCACCUAUGAUGUGCCAGCAACUGUACUCAGUGGUGGGGACUUGACGACAAACAAACCAGGGAUGGGAUCCUUGAGCAGUCACCAUCUGACAAGUGACUGGGAAAGAUGAAUAAUGCCCUUCACCAAGAUUCUUCUCUGAUCCACAAAUUCAAUUACCAAUUUAUUUGUUCACUGCUCUUAAACUUAAAUAUUUUUUAGUAGGUAAUAAAGACAUGUUUAAACACUCUUAACUUUUAACAAUUUCUUUGUAAGUACUGUAAUAGUCUUCUUUUCCUUUAAAAAGAAAAAAUACAAAAAGAAGGAAAAGGAAAAUCUAUUCAAAAUAAAGUAUUCCAGAUAUCUGA